UUUCCACUCAAGUCUGGCGGCGUUAGCAACCGCAGUCCGGGCUUCUUCAGCUGAAGUACAAGCAGCCACUAGCUGAUUUGCCGGAGGAGCGCAGGAGCGCAGUUCCCGAAGCAUCCUAUAAGCGCAGCUGUCACAGCCAGUGGCAGACAGCCACCUCUUCCCAGCUGCUUUCCCCAGCCCUAGCAAGAGGGCACCCUCUUCCAAAAGCGAGUCUACCUGGGGAGGAGGUGGCUCCGUGCUGAAGUUAGGAGAAGGUUGGCUAUGAAGGCAGAGUGGGACCUUCUUCACUGCAGUCCUCCUACAACUUGGACCAGAGGAUUCCAUCUUCGCUGUUACAGUAUCCAUCUCCACAAGCUACUCUGCCUUAAGUACUGCAUGCCAUCACCUCCCUGCUGGUUUGCUCCUUCUGGUACUACCUAAUUCACAUUCAAGUGUCAAUUUUCUUUCGAGAUGGGUGCUAAGAUAUAAACUGUCUGGCCCUUCAUCCCUGGAGCCAGGAGUCUAAGGAACAAAUCCUCUAACAAUGUGAACAAAAACCAGCUCCUCCUUUAAGAGGUAGGUGUCAGGGAUUGUGUCUGGCAAUGGAAAAGUUAAUACAAAACGCAAGGAAAAAGUGAACUGAAACCAAGCAGAAUGAAGGAAAUACUGAAGAUUAGUUUGGAGAAAAAUGAAGUACAAAAAAAGAUGAGCAGUAGAAAAAGUAAAAGAAGAAUUUGGUUUUCUGAAGUGGUCAACAAAACUAACAAACUUUUAGCUAGAGUGCCCAUGAUGGAAUGAGAGAAGCCACAAAUUACUAAAAUAAGAAUGAAAUAAGAGGUUCAUUACUGACCAAAAAUGAGUACUUUUCAUGAUAUAAGCAUGGAUUAUUAGCAACUACAUGUG
rnacentral:lncRNA from 1 species